CGCGGAGUGGAGCAGUUGGUAGCUCGUCGGGCUCAUAACCCGGAGGUCGCAGGUUCGAGUCCUGUCUCCGCAACCA
rnacentral:tRNA from 3 species